UACGGGGGGGGCAAGCGUUGUUCGGAAUUACUGGGCGUAAAGAGCUCGUAGGCGGUUUGUCGCGUCUGCCGUGAAAGUCCGGGGCUCAACUCCGGAUCUGCGGUGGGUACGGGCAGACUAGAGUGCGGUAGGGGAGACUGGAAUUCCUGGUGUAGCGGUGAAAUGCGCAGAUAUCAGGAGGAACACCGGUGGCGAAGGCGGGUCUCUGGACCGAUACUGACGCUGAGGAGCGAAAGCGUGGGGAGCGAACAGG
rnacentral:rRNA from 1 species